ACCAAUAGAAUGUGGUUUUGUUUCUUCCAAUCAAAAGGCGUUGUGAACGUGUCUCUUGCUUGUCACUUCCCAACUAGGGGAGGGAUGCAAUGCAAAAAAUAUUAAUUGAAAGAAGAUCGUUAAGCUUUCCGCGCUCGAAGGUAAAAAAUUUCCACGGGAUAUCCUUGUUUCAUGAGCUAUCCUUGGUGUCGUUUGGGACAGUUCGGAUCGGUGAAAGAUUAAGAUUCUGGUUGCGUUUUUAAGCGCGAAUUAUUGGCGAAAUUUUCUUCGAUACGUUGGAAAGCUUGGGAAGACGAGAAUUUGACGUUGCCUCGUGGCUUCGAUUCCCUUAUUAGUUUGGAGUGCGUUGGUGAUCGAAAUUGUGCUUUUCUGUCGGAACUAGUACGGUAAGGCAUGGAUGACAACCAGCAGCAAAAGUAAACAAAAGUGCCAAUGAGGUGGUAAGCUCUAUUGUAAACAUUUUCUUGGAAAAUUAUGCACUAGUUAUGAAAAGGUAAAUGUUGUGAUUAUUUUUUGUCUUUGGUGUAAGCAUAAUUUUCCUUUGGUUUUGUUAAUGGUAUGAAUGAAAAUGUAUUUUGUGUAAAGAAAGAUAAAAUGUAGCUCCAAGGGUGUAAGUUAUGAUGAGAUGAUGUGUCACCAUCAAUUUGGCCUCUAUUAAAAGUAAAAGAUUUAAACUAAGGAUGAAACUGAACCACACCAUACCUAUACUUAACCCUCAUUUUAAUUGUAUCAAUAUUAUUAUUUUUCUAAUGUUCACCCAAUAGAUUCAAUCCACUGACAGACAAAGAUGGCACCUGUACAUUUUACCAUUACUUUUACAUGUAGGCUAAGGCACAUGUAGAAAGCAAUAUUUCACAAAACAACAAGAUAUGCAAGGUUUAAAUUUUUCAGACCUUUACUGCUUGUUUUUAUGACUGGUUCCAGGAUUUUCUUGCACAAAGAGUUCUGGUUGAGUGUAGCAGUCGCCAUAUUUUUCAGUAUGAUGGUUUCAUAGUAACUGUUGUAUGAAGUAAUGUACCCUUCUCCAAUAUUAAUUUUGCAAACUUGUCAUUGACAAAGAGCUAGUUCAUGAUUAGA